UGUGCUAAAGUAACAUUGAUGUCUGAGUCAGUCAAAGGACCUCCACCAGACUUGCAGCAAAUAUUUAGAAAGAUUCAAACAAUUCUUGUAGAACUCAAGAAACUUCAAAUCAAAUUGGACACAAACAUGAAGUCUUUGGAUGCUUCAUACAACAAACAAGUACUUGAAAUAUGUGAAACACGCCAAAAAAUAAAUGCAAUUUUGGACAAUAUUGAAAAGGCCACGAUUAAAGAGCUAGAUGAUAAGAUGAAAACUCUGAAAGCUUCUCUCAAAGCGAUUUUGAACUGUUAUUUAUUGCUAGUAAGAAAUGCAUGGAAAAAAUGAAGCAGUCCCAAACUUAUUUGAAGGAAAACUCGGUUAAGGUAGACAGUUCACUGACAUUCCAGGCUGACAGAGAUUUUCAAGAACACUUGUCUAAAUUGUCAGGUCUUGGGAAUAUAAGCUACCCAGACCAGGUAUUCACUGUGCAAGUGCUUUCAAUGUAUAAUAUGAGCAUAGAAAGUGACUGGGGGAUCUGUGGUAUUGCUGCAAUCUGUGCUCUCUAGUGAUCAGAUCCUUGUUGUAGAUAAUGAACAAGUAAAGCUUCUGGAUCAUCAAUACCAGGUGGUGGGUCACUGUGAUUUAUCUGAUUAUGCCAAGGACAUAUGUCUUAUCACACCAAGUGAAGUAGCUGUUGCUGUAAAUAAUUAUCAGAAUAAGGAUAAGAAAGGUGGGGUCCAGUUUGUCUCUGUGAAUGAUGGACAGCUGGUUAAGGACAAGAUGCUACUGUUUCAACAUUCAUGUUGUGGUAUUGCUCAUUCUCACAAAGACCUGUACAUCACUUCUGGCACUGCACUUUACAAGUAUUCAAUGAGUGGAUACCCCUUGAAAAAGCUGUAUGAGGAUACAUCCGGUGAUAGAACAGUAUUUAAAUGUGCAGUGAGUCCUUCAGGUGACAGGAUAUUUAUCACCAACCCUUCCCAGGACAAGGUCCUCACCCUGGCCAGAGAUGGCUCAGUUCUCCACACCCUCACAGACCCAGACCUACAAGGCCUACAAGGUAUACACGCCACAGAUCUGGGACUGGUUCUGGUCUGUGGGAUGUCUUCCAAAACUAUCCUACAGCUGGAUUGCAAAAGCAGGAAGAAGUUGGCAACUCUCACUACCAUCGGGAGUAAAUAUCUUUGUCCACUUUCAGUCUUCUACAAUAAGAGCACAGCCUCCAUAAUAGUGGGGCUUCAAGUUGCCAAAUUUGUGUUUUAAAAGUUAAAUAGUGUUGUUUUUCAAGUUUCAGUUCACACAUUUUAGAACAUGCACUUUCAUCACGAAUUUUUAGCAGCAUCAAACUAGUGUUCCAUGUUAUGUUAUAUCAAAUGUGUUGCCAAGUUUUGUCAAUCAUGAAUAUGUUUGAAAAUUAUAAAAAGAAAUUGGCAGUAUGGAUCUCUUAUGAAGUGUUGGGUUUAAUUGCAUAAAUCUCUGUGGAUGAUAAAUUUAAUUGCCACACCGUUUAUAAGCAUGCUAUCAUCGGUUGCAUGGAAUCAGCUGUAUUGCUUUGCUAUUUACUAUUUAUUAUGCCGCCCUUCGAAGAAGAGGGGGUAUAUUGCUUUGCUCAUGUCGGUCGGUCUGUCGGUCCGUCCACCAGGUGGUUGUCAGACGAUAACUCAAGAACGCUUGGGCCUAGGAUCAUGAAACUUCAUAGGUACAUUGAUCAUGACUCGCAGAUGACCCCUAUUGAUUUUGAGGUCACUAGGUCAAAGGUCAAGGUCACGGUGACCCGAAAUAGUAAAAUGGUUUUUGAAUGAUAACUCAAGAACGAAUACGCCUAGGAUCAUGAAACUUAAUGGGUAGAUUGAUCAUGACUCGCAGAUGACCCCUAUUGAUUUUGAGGUCACUAGGUCAAAGGUCAAGGUCACGGUGACCCGAAAUAGUAAAAUGGUUUCCGGAUGAUAACUCAAGAAUGCAUACGCCUAGGAUCAUGAAACUUGAUAGGUAGAUUGAUCAUGACUCGCAGAUGACCCCUAUUGAUUUUGAGGUCACUAGGUCAAAGGUCAAGGUCACAGUGACCCGAAAUAGUAAAAUGGUUUUUGGAUGAUAACUCAAGAACGCAUAUGCCUAGGAUCAUAAAACUUCACAGGUAGAUUGAUCAUGACUCGCAGAUGACCCCUAUUGAUUUUGAGGUCACAAGGUCAAAGGUCAAGGUCACGGUGACCCGAAAUAGUAAAAUGAUUUUCGGAUGAUAACUCAAGAACGCUUUUGCCUAGGAUCAUGACACUUCAUAGGUACAUUGAUCGUGACUCGCAGAUGACCCCUAUUGAUUUUCAGGUCACUAGGUCAAAGGUCAAGGUCACAGUGACAAAAAACGUAUUCACACAAUGGCUGCCACUACAACGGACAGCCCAUAUGGGGGGCAUGCAUGUUUUACAAACAGCCCUUGUUUAAAUUAUGUUGAACAAGAAAUAUCUUUUAAAAGGAUAUACGGCGUUGAUUGUGGUUGGAGUUUAUGAAAGGUAAAGAGUUCAAUGAAUGAGAUCAAGGAUAGCGAAUGUCUUUUUAUGUGCAGUUUUUAGCUGCAUCACACGCAGUUUGGGAUGUUACGCGGAGUUUUUUGCGGCUUAUUUUACAUUAUUACAUAUUGCUAGUCAUAAACCUAUAGAUACAAAACAGAAAACCAAAAGAAUAAUGGAAGUGAAAUUAAAACAUAUGAGUCAACCGGCCACAUGCGAAGUAUCCGUACAUAUUUUAAAUAUUUAUACGCGCGUUCUUCGAACUAACCUUUUUAGUGGUGUGUCAGGCAUAGCUAUUUGAUUUGAGUAUUAACAGUAUCGAGAAUCAUCGCGGUCAUGCUUAAUACAUUAGUCAAUAUGGUGGAAUAAUUCUUGUAUUGUGCUGUUUUGUACUAUUUGAGCAAUUGGUCACUUGCCUUAAAUAAAGGUCCAACUGAUAGUUUAUCAUAAUAAUUCAAUACUGCUCCAGCAGCUGGAGUUUCACUUCUUUAUAUUGUUAAAUUAAUUAAAAAUAAUAUUUAUUAUGGUAUUGUUGAAAACACAUUAAGAAUCUAUUAUUGACAUACCAUAAUAAUAUCGCUGGAUAUCUUCAUUUAACAUCUUUCUGGUCUAAAGAAAAUUCCAGUUCACCUAGUUCACGCUAUAGCGUCUUUAUUAUAUAACGCAGCGAUGACCUGUAUAUUAACUCUGACAUUCACACACACUAACCGCGAACUGACGAAGGUGUAGAAUCUACGCACAAAUUGUAUUGAUGUGAAGAGAGGGGUGUGAAACUGUUCUAUCUAUCAUGCCUUUUCAUAAGAGAUAAAAUUGUUUCAUGCUGAACAUGUAGUAAAACAGUGUUAGAAAGACGCGGCCAUGUUUCCAAUGUUCUCGUGGUAUUCUCAAAUCAGCCAAUUGACUAAAUGAAGUGUAUUCAUUCGUGGGUAGCUGCGGGCAUUUUUAUGAAUGUAACCUAAAGGUCACCUAAGGUCAAAAGUGACGUUAAACAGCUAUGCCGAAAAAGUUAUAGUACUAGUUUCUGUUUAAUUUGAAUUUUUGCCGUUUUAAAAAGUAUUUCAAUUAUAUCACACCGGUCUCUUUAGAAACUCUUCCUGGGUGAGCUAGUUAACCAGUACUAAGUGUACAUACUUAUGCAAGCAAAUGGAGAACAGCCCUUUUUGAAACAGGUUGUUGACGGACAGGAGACUUGCCAUCAAAAUGAUUUCAAGAGUGCACUACAGUGGACGGAGUGAUACAAGUUGCGCUCCUUGAGUGUGUACUACAGCGCUCUACCGACUGAGCGUCCUGGCUUUUAUUAUUUCAUAGAUAAAGAUCAUGAUUACAAAAAUAAACUCAUUUUUUCUACUGGAGUCACAAUUGAAUAAUAAAAAAAUCUGAAUUCCAUAUGUUAAAGAUUUAAUCUGGUGAGUGCACCAGGUCAAAUUAUUUUUUUUAAUCUUGUCAAUGUAGAGUCUACAAGUAUGACUCAAUCUAGAUGAAACUUGGUCAGAAUUCGUAUCCGAAUGAUAUGCAGGCCAAGCUUGAAUCAGGUCAUGUGCGUCCAAGACUAGGUAACCAGGAGGUAAAAACUUAGAAAAAUGUGUUAUUAUUCUAGAAGCGAUAUUUAUGCCUCAAUUGUGAUCAAACUUUGUAAGAGAUUUUAUCUCGACAAUAUUGAGGAUUUGAGGUGGAAUGGGAUUUUUGGUCACAUGCAUAGUGAAAAGAGGUCACCUAAUCUAAUCAUGGGCCACAUUAAUGACUCAAUCUUGACGAAACUUGGUCAAAGUGUAAUCUUUGCAUUAUCUAGGCUGCGUUCAAAUCUUGAUCCAAAAACUAGAGCACCUGACCAAAUAUUUGAAAAACAUUGUUUCUACUAUAGAGGCCACAUUUAUUUCUCAAUCUUAAUAAAACUUUUUCAGAAUAUGUUUUUUACUAUACCAGGUUAAGUCAGAUGUGUCUUCGGGUCAAGUUUCAACAUUGGUUUACCUUGAACUAAGAUUAGCUCAUCAUGGCCCUCUUGUUAGGAUGUUUUUCUUUUAAAGGAAGCUCUUCUAAAUGAAAUCCAAGCUAGGUGGAAAGUGAUGUCCCUGAUAAGCCUACAGGGACUGCACAGGUUCAUCAGGUGCGAUACUUUACACAUGUGCAUACAGCCCUGUUUUCUCACAAUGCAGCUCAUCUAUGUCUUGUAUGGGUACAAUAAUUAAUCCGUUUUGUUGUGCAUUUGAUAUGUAUGAUUGCAAUAUGUUUAACUAGCAUUGAUACAGACCAUGAUACAUAUUCAUUAGUGAACAAAUCUGAUUCUGAAAUGUUGUUUAUUGUAUGCACAGCAAGAAAAGAUACAUGAACUGGCAGGAAGCUUAUUUAAAUCAUCUUUGUUGUCCCCUACCAGUUUCACCGGAGGGGACCUAUGGUUUUCACUCUGUGAGUCUGUCUGUCACACUUUUUUGGAUCCUGCGAUAACUUUAAAAGUUCUUCAUAUUUUUUCAUGAAACUUGAAACAUGGAUAGAUGGCAAUAUGGACAUUAUGCACAUCAUUUCAUUGUGUUCCUACGUCAAAAUUUCUGGUUGCUAUGGCAACAAAUAGACUAGAAAUGCUGCUGAAAAUGGUGGUUUUCUGGAUCCUGCGAUAACUUUAAAAGUUCUUCUUUUUUUUUCAUGAAACUUUAAACAUGGAUAGAUGGCAAUAUGGACAUUAUGCAGGUCAUUUUUUUUUGUUACUAUGUCAAAAAUUCUGGUUGCUAUGGAAACAAAUAUAUAUAAAAAAUCUGACAAUGGUGGAGCCAGUAGGGGACAUAUAUUGCUUUGCAAUAGUCUUGUUUCUACUAUCACGGUCCAUACCGAAAUAAAAAAUUUAGUUUUGACAAAGUCAUAAACAUUACUUAAAAAAAACGAGGGACAAAAUUGUCACAAAACCAGGUUUUCAAUUUGAAAAAAAAGUCUGAUAAAGGGAGACAACUCAAACUGGACAACUUGAUAACUUUACCAUGACCCAUAUUUGAACAUAACCUACACAUCAUCUAGACACAACUUCUGACCAAAUUUGGUGAAGAUGGGAUGAAAACUACUUUAAUUAGAGAGCAGACACCAUGCUAAAUCCUUGAAAUGCAAGUGACCUCGUGACCUAGUUUUUGACAUGGCAUGACCCAUAUUUGAACUUGACCUAUUCCUAGUUAUCAUUUAGACACAACUUCUUACCAAAGUUGAAGAUCAGAUGAAAACUACUUAGAGAGCGGACACCAUGCUAAAUCCUUGAAAUGCACUAAGUGACCCCGUGACUUAGUUUUUGACCCGGCAUGACCCAUAUUUGAACUUGUCCUAGAUAUUGUCUAGAUAUAACUUCUGACCAAGUUUGGUGAAGAUCGGAUGAAAAUUACUUCAAUUAGACAGCGGACACCAUGCUAAAUCCUUAAAAUGCACUAAGUGACCCCAUGACCUAGUUUGUGACCCGGCAUGACCCAUAUUCGAAUUUGACCUAGAUGUUGUCUAGAUACAACUUCUGACCAAGUUAUGUAAAGAUCGGAUGAAAACUACUACAAUAAGAGAGCGGACACCAUGCUAAAUCCUUGAAAUGCACUAAGUGACCCCGAGACCUAGUUUUUGACCCGGCAUGACCCAUUAUCGAACUUGACCUAGAUAUUUCUAGAUACAACUACUGACCAAGUUUGGUGAAGAUCGGAUAAAAACUAUUUGAAUUAGAGAGCGGACACUGCUUGUUCCGCCCGCCCGCCAGCCAGCCCGCCCACAUUCGCCAAUCUAAUAACCAGUUUUUUCCUUCAGAAAACCUGGUUAAAAACAAAUAUAAAUGCCUGUCCCAGUUUUACAGCUGAUAACUGUUUGAAGUUUGUAAAACUAGCUUAUUUUGUGAUUUAUUAGUUUCAUACAAGCUUUGAAUUAUGGGCUAAUACAUGUUUAUAUACAGUCGAAACCCAAUGGCUCAAACUCGCUUGGCUCGAAUUUCGGGUUGGCUUGAACUCUAAUCAAAGCACUGAUUUUUUAUUGCUAUAUUAAAUAUACAAUUGUGUCAGAUGGCUCCAUUUCGCAAGGUUGAAUUAUGUAGGCUUGAACUGUUUUAACAGUCCCGGUGACAAUUUUCACAGUGUGAAGCAUUUUUUGGUUGGGAUGGCUCGAACUCGCUUUGGUUUGCAUAAACUGUUAAUCCAUUAGGACCGCUUGAUUAAAGGCACUGAAUAAUUGAUUUAUCACUGGUUGCAAACAUCAUCUUAAUCAUUAAUCGAUUUGAGUAAAAGAUAACAUUUAGUAUUAAUGUAAUCAGAAAUUCUCUCGAGAAGUGCAUAAACUCGCAGCAUGUUCAAUCAUGUGGAUGUAAUAAAAAGCUUUCAAUCUCAACUAGAUGUAAUAAAAAGCUUUGUUUCUCAACGACAGCCAAAGAAAGCAACACAGACUGACAUAAUGUAAUUCUUAAAAAAUAUAUAAAUAAAGCCGUAAAUGCAAUAUAUAUAAUUUCUCAUAUGUAAACGAUGUGUAUUUAGUGCUGAUGCAUGUUUUGUUCCGUAGUGCUGUUUUUUUUCCAGAAAAUGUGCUAUGUUAAAACGUGCUGAUAUAUUUAGUAUAUGAUAUUUGUUUGAUUGUAACUGUUUAAAAAUAUUGGUAAAUUAAAGUAUUAAGUACAUGUA